rnacentral:rRNA from 1 species
AGAGUUUGAUCCUGGCUCAGGACGAACGCUGGCGGCGUGCUUAACACAUGCAAGUCGAACGGAGCACCCUUGAUUGAGGUUUCGGCCAAAUGAUAGGAAUGCUUAGUGGCGGACUGGUGAGUAACGCGUGAGGAACCUGCCUUUCAGAGGGGGACAACAGUUGGAAACGACUGCUAAUACCGCAUGACGCAUUUUGAUCGCAUGGUCGAAAUGCCAAAGAUUUAUCGCUGAAAGAUGGCCUCGCGUCUGAUUAGAUAGUUGGCGGGGUAACGGCCCACCAAGUCGACGAUCAGUAGCCGGACUGAGAGGUUGACCGGCCACAUUGGGACUGAGAUACGGCCCAGACUCCUACGGGAGGCAGCAGUGGGGAAUAUUGGGCAAUGGGCGCAAGCCUGACCCAGCAACGCCGCGUGAAGGAAGAAGGCUUUCGGGUUGUAAACUUCUUUUAAGUGGGAAGAGUAGAAGACGGUACCACUUGAAUAAGCCACGGCUAACUACGUGCCAGCAGCCGCGGUAAUACGUAGGUGGCAAGCGUUGUCCGGAUUUACUGGGUGUAAAGGGCGUGCAGCCGGGCAUGCAAGUCAGAUGUGAAAUCUCAGGGCUUAACCCUGAAACUGCAUUUGAAGCUGUAUGUCUUGAGUGCCGGAGAGGUAAUCGGAAUUCCUUGUGUAGCGGUGAAAUGCGUAGAUAUAAGGAAGAACACCAGUGGCGAAGGCGGAUUACUGGACGGUAACUGACGGUGAGGCGCGAAAGCGUGGGGAGCGAACAGGAUUAGAUACCCUGGUAGUCCACGCUGUAAACGAUGGAUACUAGGUGUGCGGGGACUGACCCCCUGCGUGCCGCAGUUAACACAAUAAGUAUCCCACCUGGGGAGUACGAUCGCAAGGUUGAAACUCAAAGGAAUUGACGGGGGCCCGCACAAGCGGUGGAUUAUGUGGUUUAAUUCGAAGCAACGCGAAGAACCUUACCAGGUCUUGACAUCCUGCUAACGAAGUAGAGAUACAUUAGGUGCCCUUCGGGGAAAGCAGAGACAGGUGGUGCAUGGUUGUCGUCAGCUCGUGCCGUGAGGUGUCGGCUUAAGUGCCAUAACGAGCGCAACCCCUCUCCUUAGUUGCCAUCAGGUUAAGCUGGGCACUCUGGGGACACUGCCACCGUAAGGUGUGAGGAAGGUGGGGAUGACGUCAAAUCAGCACGGCCCUUACGUCCGGGGCUACACACGUGUUACAAUGGCAGGUACAGAGAGACGGUUGUACGUAAGUACGAUCAAAUCCUUAAAGCCUGUCUCAGUUCGGACUGGGGUCUGCAACCCGACCCCACGAAGCUGGAUUCGCUAGUAAUCGCGCAUCAGCCAUGGCGCGGUGAAUACGUUCCCGGGCCUUGUACACACCGCCCGUCAAGCCAUGAAAGCCGGGGGCGCCUAAAGUCCGUGACCGUAAGGAGCGGCCUAGGGCGAAACUGGUAAUUGGGGCUAAGUCGUAACAAGGUA